AGUCGUAUGGUGUAAAUUCAUCAGUGAAAGUGGAAGAGUCAAAUGGAAAAUACAUUUUGUAAUUAUUCAUCGACUGAAGCUAUGUGUAAGGGUCACAGGGUGGAUGUAAAAACCUAUUUCCUAUAAUUCUGACUGAUGAAAAGUCACAUGGAUUCAAGUAUAUGAACAGAACUAUUUCAAUUUGCAGCUGUGAAUGUACUAAUCUUAGAAGAAGACAACAAAGGGCAUGCAGUCAAUUUUCCAGCUCUGCAGAAAGGCUACUAUCAUGGGAAAGAGGUAAGUAG